CUACGGGACGCACCAGUGAGGAAUAUUGCACAAUGGGGGGAACCCUGAUGCAGCAACGCCGCGUGGAGGAUGACGCAUUUCGGUGUGUAAACUCCUUUUAUAUGUCAAGAAAAUGACGGUAGCAUAUGAAUAAGCACCGGCUAACUCCGUGCCAGCAGCCGCGGUAAUACGGAGGGUGCAAGCGCUACUCGGAAUCACUGGGCGUAAAGGACGCGUAGGCGGGUUGGAAAGUCAGGUGUGAAAUCCUACAGCUUAACUGUAGAACUGCACUUGAAACUUCUAAUCGAGAGUAUGGGAGGGGGAGAUGGAAUUAGUGGUGUAGGGGUAAAAUCCGUAGAUAUCACUAGGAAUACCUAAAGCGAAGGCGAUCUCCUGGAACAUUACUGACGCUAAGGCGUGAAAGCGUGGGGAGCAAACAGGAUUAGAUACCCGAGUAGUC
rnacentral:rRNA from 1 species